rnacentral:SRP_RNA from 1 species
AGCUGGGCCCUGCGCGGCGGAGAAACGUGAACCCCGUCAGGUCCGGAAGGAAGCAGCGGUAACGUUCCACUCUGGGUGAUGUAGACAAGUCCAGCUACC